rnacentral:rRNA from 1 species
UACGUAGGGAGCAAGCGUUGUUCGGAUUUACUGGGCGUAAAGCGCACGCAGGCGGCGCCGUAAGUCUGAUGUGAAAUCUCCUGGCUUAACUGGGAGGGGUCAUUGGAAACUGCGGUGCUUGAGGCGAUGAGAGGGGUGUAGAAUUCCCGGUGUAGUGGUGGAAUGCGUAGAUAUCGGGAGGAAUACCAGUGGCGAAAGCGGCACCCUGGCAUUAGCCUGACGCUCAUGUGCGAAGGCGUGGGGAGCGAACGGG